GUCGUGAGAUGUUGGGUUAAGUCCCGCAACGAGCGCAACCCUUGUCCCAUGUUGCCAGCGGGUUAUGCCGGGGACUCAUGGGAGACUGCCGGGGUCAACUCGGAGGAAGGUGGGGACGACGUCAAGUCAUCAUGCCCCUUAUGUCCAGGGCUGCAAACAUGCUACAAUGGCCGGUACAGAGGGCUGCGAAACCGCGAGGUUGAGCGAAUCCCACAAAGCCGGUCUCAGUUCGGAUUGGAGUCUGCAACUCGACUCCAUGAAGCUGGAGUCGCUAGUAAUCCCGGAUCAGCAACGCCGGGGUGAAUACGUUCCCGGGCCUUGUACACACCGCCCGUCACACCACGAAAGUCGGUAGCACCCGAAGCCGGUGGCCCAACCUUUUAGGAGGGAGCCGUCGAAGGUGGGAUCGGCGAUUGGGGUGAAGUCGUAACAAGGUAGCCGUACCGAAAGGUGCGGCUGGAUCACCUCCUUUCUAAGGAGUCACUGCUCCUGCACAUUGCAGGGGCGACUCCCAGUUGGAGCACUCGCAGGUCCUGUCCCGACGUUGUCGUGGGUCGAAGGUGACUUCCUCCCCUCGGCGAUCGAGGCUCAGGACAACUGUCCUCUCUUCUGUUUUGAGGGAGCGAUCCCUUGAUGGCGAGGCAACGCAGGCUUGAUGCCGCGACCUCGCGCUCGUGGCCCCCGUACGUGCGGGCCCGGCUCCUUGAGAAUUGCAUAGCGAGCACGAGCAUCUUUGUUCUUCCAAGCUACAAAAGGCCAACGGUGGAUGCCUUGGCGCCUAGCACCGAUGAAGGACGUGGGUGGCUGCGAUAAGCCACGGGGAGCUGCCUACCAAGCUUUGAUCCGUGGAUGU
rnacentral:sRNA from 1 species